rnacentral:lncRNA from 1 species
GAUUAAUGCUACUUUAGGAGACAGUCAAGAUUCCCAGCUGCAAAAUUACAUUUUCCUCUUGGCGGUUUUUCUUUUUUUUUGUUGUUUUUUUGGGGGGGUCUGGCACGGUUUUCUCAGGGCAGCCGUCUGCUCCUGGGCUGAGCUGAGACACAGGGUCUCUUGUGUACAGAGCUGGCCUGAGCUGGAGAAUUCCUGCAGCAGCGUCAUGGAAAACACCACUUGCCACAGCACAGAACGAGAGAAAGAAGAAAAGAGGCGCCACCAAGGAUCAGGACAGCGCCUGUGGGGCGGUGUGGGAGCCACAAAGGGAAGGAAAGCAGAGGCUCCUGCAGCAGCAGCAGAGCCCAGCUGGCCCCUGUCCCUCCCGUGGAGCUCCACAGGAGCUCUGAGCCACGUGAGGCAGCCAGCCCAGGCUUUGGCAAGGCAGGAUGCUGUGCUGGGGUUAUUAGCAGGUUCCCAUAGCACUGCCCUCCCCAGGCAUCCUCCCCUGCCCACGCUGGCCUGCCUGGCACAGGCUGCUGGGCAUUCACCAGGAGCUCCGUCCCUAUUUCAGCCCCCAGCGCAAACACCACCGUGAAUCUUUGAGUAAACAGGCAGGCACUGGAGGGGAGGGAAGGAUUAAAAACUCCGAAUAAUGACUGAAAUGUCAGACAUUUAUUAUUAAGUCAGUCCUGAUGUUGACAGCUGAACAUUCAAUAUUAAAAGCAUCCUUGAUCAUAAAAGCCAAAGGCAAACCUGAUUCUUAAAUAUCCCAGUUGUUCUUUUUUGACCUAGUUUUUGAUGUCUUAAGGAGGAAAUAAAAUUUUGGAAAAUAUUUACA